rnacentral:tRNA from 1 species
AAUAGGGUGUCUGAUUUAAGUAAUAAAUUGUAAAUUUAUUUAAGGGUAAAUUCCCCCCUAUUA